CAGUCGCCGCGGGAAUACGGAGGGGGCUAGCGUUGUUCGGAAUUACUGGGCGUAAAGCGCACGUAGGCGGCUUGGUAAGUUAGAGGUGAAAGCCCAGGGCUCAACCCUGGAAUUGCCUUUAAGACUGCCGAGCUAGUAGGUGAGAGAGGUAAGUGGAAUUCCGAAUGUAGAGGUGAAAUUCGUAGAUAUUCGGAAGAACACCAGUGGCGAAGGCGGCUUACUGGCUCAUUCUAGACGCUGAGGUGCGAAAGCGUGGGGAGCAAACAGGAUUAGAUACCCCCGUAGUCCCUGUCUCUUAUAU
rnacentral:rRNA from 1 species